rnacentral:rRNA from 1 species
AUGUUGAAUUCUCCUCAUGCUUAUAAUCAACACAAAGCUUUAACUAAACAUAUCGUUGAUGCUAUGAUGCAAUCUUAUGAAGAAAAGCUUAAUUUGGAAGUUUCUAUUCCUAGAAAACUUUAUGAUGAGUGGGAACCUACUAUUAAGAUUAAGAUUAAAGAUUAUGAAUGCUAUGCUUUGUGUGAUUUUGGUGCUAGUGUUUCCACAAUUCCGAAAACUUUAUGUGAUGUGUUAGGAUUUCGUGAAUUUGAUGAUUGUUCCUUAAAUUUGCAUCUUGUGAAUUCCACUAUUAAGAAACCUAUGAGAAGAAUUAAUGAUGUUCUUAUUGUUGCAAAUAGGAAUUAUUUGCCCGUAGAUUUCAUUGUUCUUGAUAUAGAUUGCAAUCCUACAUGUCCUAUUAUUCUUGGUAGACCUUUCCUUAGAACGAUUGGUGCAAUUAUUGAUAUGAAAGAAGCAACCAUUAGAUUUCAAUUUCCAUUAAGGAAAGGCAUGGAAAAACUUUCCAAGAAAGAAAAUUAA